UUGCUGAGUCGUUACAACCGUUUCUUGUUAUUAGCCACAGCCUUUGCUAGCUAGCUUAAGUAUGCCAUCAACAUCCCGCAAGUGCAUCUUCGGUCACUUUAUUUAAUUUUCCGAAGGAGCAUGUUCUGAGGAAGAGUUGGACCGAUUUUGUGAAGAGCUACGUUGAUGGAGAGGUGAGGAUCACCACCAACACCCGUCCCUGCAGUGAUCAUUUUACACCCGGUAGUUUCACCAAUUUACAUCAGAGACAACAGGGAUUCAGGGAUAAUCCGUUGUUACUGGUGAACCGAGCCGAUCGUGUCCCUCCCUGGACUUCAUCCGUCCCACCGACACCAUGCCCGCCAGGUCAAGGACACCUAUUGAAUGAAACAGAGGCUGCACAUACACUCAUGCUGUGGAGGAGAAGCUGUUGAAUAGGAAGAAAAGAGCGGGCUGUGCGCCAUCAGCACCUAAGACAGCACCCUACCCAUCAUCCAUCACUCUUCUAACACAUCAUUGGACAGACGUCAGCCAUAAUGGGCAUGUUUCUUGCCACUUGCGCACUGUUCCCAUCUAGUGGAAAUGAAAUGGACUGCAGCAAGGUCGCCUCUGCUGUAAGCUAAUGUCCAUAGAAGCUGCUGAGCCCGGCUGGUUAAUGCUGACCACUCUCCCCGCUCCGGUUCGGGCACAACAAGCGCCACUUUCUGUGUGUUAAACUCUGCACAUCCUUCAUUCUGCACAGUGAAGAUCAAACAUCACACCAUUGACUGGAGGGUGACUCUAAAGAUCAGUACAGUAUGAACAUAUCUAAUCUCAGUUUAAAAAUACAAUAAAACAAUGUUCAGUUUGACAUUAUAGCAUGUUUGCCCGUGUCAAUAGUAAAACCAUUCUGUAUUGUCAGUGGCUGCGUUUGCAUCCACACAAAUGAAAGUUGACCAGUGGCCUUCCAUUUGCAGUAAGUGGGAGAAAAGCUCUGCCGAGCACUGGACAACGUGCACUUAGAGGAGACACCAUUAUCAUUCACUUCACGUCACCAAGCCUGGAAGAGCUCUACUUGCAGAUGAUUCAUCAAAAACUAACACUUUCCCUAGAAUUUUACAAAAAUAUCCAAUCCAAAGUCAGGCGGAAGUAGGGCUGGGCGAUAUAUUGAUAUAAAAAAUAUAUCGAUAUAUUUUUAAAUGUGAUGGGGAAUUUGCAUAUAUCCAUAUAGUUCAAAUUUGCGCUGUGAGCCUUGCUCCAAGGGGGUCAUCCCUAUGUUCCCCGCUAAGGUUAGGGUUAGGGUUCCCUGGUCCCAUACAAAGCGGGGAACAUAGAACCCGGGGAACAUAGGUACUGCACUGCUCCCCGCGCCCCCGCCACCCCCUCCUCUUUCAAUAACCUAACGUAAUGUUUGUGUUCAUAUCCAUAAUUUAGACUGUAACGUUGUCAGACUGUUAGCUAACUGCUGAGUAAUUCACUGAUGUUACAGGUAACUUAACGUGCUAACGUUAGCUAACGUAACGUUGGCUAACGUUAGCUCGGCAUGAUUCAUGUUAGCAAAACACAACGUUAAUAUUGAGUGUGGUUUUAGUCGGGAUGGGUUGUUCUGUUUACAGGCAGCAAAUCUUUAUCAUACCAUUAACGUUAUGUUACUAACGUUACAGACACGUUGCUGAGUCAACCUAAUGUACAGCUCAGUAACAGCGUUAACUUACGUUACGUUGUUUUAACGUCAUUGUUCUUGCUUGUGUAAUAACGGUAGCAGUUUUGGUGAGUGGUAACAGCCUUACUGCCUUCUGAAAAUUAAUUUAAAAGUUAUAAUGCAGCCUAACUUCUGGUCACAACGUGUGUGAGAGACAGAGAGAGAGAGACUGAACAUUUGCUCUCCCUUUGCGGAAAAAAUAUCGGGAUACAUAUCGUAUAUCGAUAUUCAGCCUAAAUAUAUCGGGAUAUGACUUUUGGUCCAUAUGGCCCAGCCCUAGGCUGAAGCAUGCUGGGCUGCAACAGGCUGACACUGUGCCUCUUUCCACACUCCGUCCUCUGGGUGCCUUCGCUACUAAUCUCUGUUUUAACAAGUCAUUUAAAGUGCUGUUAUGUCCCCAAACCAUCAUUUUCACAGUUGUCUUGAAUCCUGUUGCUUCCAAUACAAAUCACUUUGUGUUAUCUUACAGCAAACUGCCUAACUGGCUUACAAUCAUUUGUAGAUGAUGCCUGAAAUAAGAGAAACUGCAAUUCUUUCACUGUAAUCCGAUUAUUAUUUUUAGCUCAGAAGAAUUGUUGAAACGGAUUACAUCAAAAAUGUUAAAUAGCACAAAGUAAGUUAGUACUUUUUACCCUGUAUUGUGUUUUCACAGCUCAAAUAAAAAUGACAAAAUUAAGUCAGUGUCACUUACAAUUACUAAAGCUACUUGAUCAAGUUUUUUUAACUUACAAAAUUGAGUUUAUUUUACUUAAAACUUUUGAUGUGAUCAGUUUCAACAAUUUUUAAGUUAAAUUAACUUAUCUGGUUUCACAGGUUUUAUAUUCAUAUUUAAAUCAUUUAUGAAAGCUUAAUGUUACUUAAAAUAUGUCAACAAUAAAGAUACAAACUGACAGAAACACAAACAUACAGUAAAUAAUGUAGUCAAUGAAAUUCUAUCAUGAACACUGCUUGACUUGAUUUUCUCCUCAGUGUGAUGGAGGGUCCUGCUGGCAGUCAGGACCGUGUGAACAUACCAGAGGUCCAGGGGUCUCUGGGGCUCGCGGACCCCCUGUGGUUUGAAUUAGAGCGGAUUACAACUCUCACCAACAAAAGACACCUCUCCACUUCCCCCCGCCUACUUUUCUGUGCUAUCUGCUCCUCUGACCGAGUGACACUGCCAACUAAAUGUGGCUCCAUUUGUGCUGCCAGCCCACUGAGAGGCUAUAAAACAGACAUCCAUUGCACGUUUCUACAUUAUACAAACAGGAUAUAGGUUAUCUGAAACACGUUUUAAGGAGCUUAUCUUGUAAACAAAAUGUCAGAUAUGACAGAUGCCCAGCUUUCGAUCGUAUCCCGCCAUCUUCCUUAAGCGAUGGAGAUCAUGUGAUACAAUGGAAAGCUCUAGAACAGCUAUUAAAUGGACCUUGUGUUGAGAUUGUUUUAUCAAAUACUGUUUCCAAGUUUAACAAUCUUUCUUAACUUAAUUUAUGAUAUUAAAGAUAUAAUAUGUAACAUUUCUGCAUUAAAGCUGCAGUAGGAAACUUUUAUAACAAUUACUUUUUGUCAUAUUUACUGAAACUUUCCCUAUAUCCUGACAGUAGUACAUGAGACAGAUAAUCUGUGAAAGAAUCAGGUUCUUCUGGCUCGUCUUAGUGCUCCUAAUGGCAUUUGCAAGAAUCCACUGUAAUUGUAAUUUUUUGUGUUUGUUGACAAUCAAUUAUUUGAUAGAUUAUUAACUGUUGAGUACUUCAGGGAUCAUUGUUCAUAAUUGAAUGUUAUAUUACUCAGUUCCCCAACAAAAUGCACUUUUCUCUUGCCAGACCAUCAUUAUAUAUAAAAAUUAAUUAGAUUAUAUGAUUCGAAAAUAAAUACUGCAGCUUUAUCUGAAAAUAAGGAGGUUAUAAUGAGAGUGGUUAAAAACAUAUAUAAAUAUUAAUCAAAGCUUGAAUGCCACAAUUUAAAUAUAUGCCUUUCCCACCAACAGGGAACUGUCUUUGUCCAGUUCAAGCACCUAGUAUUGAACCGUUCGGAGCAUUUUGACCAAAAAUAAAGUUCCCAACUGGAACCAAAAAACAGCAGGUUUUCCUUGGGAACCAAAGUGGGCGUGUCAUAUUUCACAGGUCGUUGUGCAUUGUGCAGCUGUGGAUGAUGCAGUCGAUUACUACAGUUCCUCUCAAAGCUGGUGGAAAAGGGGGUCGUACAGCAAAUAAAAUAUGGAGGGGAUUUAAUUCAACAUAAAACUCUUUACAUUCAUAUACUGCCAAUUAAGGGGGCUGAGCAUCCCUCCGAGGGAUGGUGGGGGUUGAGGGAUGCAAGAAGAUUUAAUUUUUGCAUUUACCAGUACAAUGGGUUUCCAUAAAAAAGGUCCAGUUAACUGGAAACUACGUUCAUAUUACUCACCGCAUGAUUCAUCCACCCUGUAAGCUCUCAGUGACUCCACAUGUAGUAAAGCUCUGAGAUCACCCAGAGAGGUGCUUUUAAAAGAAGGGCCACUUUAAGAAAGGAACCACUGUAAUGAUAAACAGUCCAAUAAUAACGGUACAUAAUGAUUUA